ensembl:lncRNA
UGCUGAGAAACUAAAUCCGUAAUAAAAUAUUCAAGUACAAAAAUAUUUGCCAACAGGAUAAUGCAUUGUUCUUCUAUUAAAAUCACUAUAAAAGCAGCAGCAGUGGUGGAAAUAUAUUAGCAUUAAUUAAACGCAGCACCGAAGCAGCCGUAAACAUAACAAAUGUCAGAUGAGUCGUGUUGAGGAGGCAGAUUGUCAAUGUCAAUACUUUAAACAGCUGCAGCAGAAACCAAAGCAAACAACAGCCACCAGGAAGAAACUUCAACACCAACGUCCCAACAUCCCAUUUCACUGGCUACGGUUCAACUAAGAACCGGAGGAGGAGGAAGAGGAGACGCUGCUGCAGGAGCUGAGCUCUGCUCCUCCCUCUGCCUGCAGGUCCAGAGCUGAAGCCGGAUCAGGACCAAACUGAGAGCGGUUCUGUAGAGUCUGCAUGAGUCCUGAUCUCUAAGUGAUUAAUAACUAAUCAAACGUUCCUCACAGUAACGUCUGAUGAACACGAUCCCUUAUGGAGGGAACCAGCAUGCUGAGUCCUCACGUGAUCUGGUCUCCACUAAAGGCUCAAACCUGCAGAGCUGCUGCUGUUCUCACACGUUCUCACCACAACGCUUCCUCUUCACCUCCGAGGAAACAACCACAAGAUGCAAAGAGGAGGAAACUCAUCCUCGGAGCUCCAACACGUCAUCUCUAUGAGCACGACGAGGAAGUGACGCUGUGCAACCAGAGGAAGCAGAAGCUGCAUCUGUGAGGAAGAAGCACUCGGUCAGACGCCUUGAGGAGCAGAGACACCAUGGUGGAACUCAGAGGGACUCAAAGGACUUUAUGUGUGAUGCUGCUGCUGCUUCAGGCUGCAGUAAGAGGACAAACCCCCCCUGACCCCCGCUUCCUCGUCAGAGCCGGAGAUGACGUCACUUUGCCUUCUAAUCAGGACAGAUGUGACGGUUCUACUUGGCUUUACAGUCGUAGUGGAUCAACUGUGGAGCUGGUUACACUUGGGAAGUUUAGAAAUAACGCUUUGAUUCCAGAAGCUAAAACCAACAGACUGAGUUUGACAGCAAACUGUUCUCUGGUUAUAAGAAACGUCUCAGGUGAAGAUGUUGGUCGUUACAUCAACAGACAUUAUGAUGAAACAGAAAAACAACAAGGUCCAGAUGGUGUGGUCUCUCUGUACGUGUUUACAAUGGAGGAAAAGGACUACGGGGGUUCGGUUGAGUUGUCCUGCUUUGUGUUGAGAUCCUCUGAGUGUGAACACACAGUAAAGUGGCUUUAUGACGGCAAACAGACUGAUGUGAUGACGACAUCACACGCUGCUUGUGAAGCUACUGUGACGUUUAAAGCUCCUCUUCAUCAGAAGUCAAAGUAUUAUAAGUCACUGAGAUGUGAAGUGAGAAACAAUCAGAGUGGAAAAACUCUGCUGUUUGAAGCCUGCAGUCAGUUCUCAUGUGAACAAACAGGAGGCCCAUCGGGGGAGGGAAACAUUACACCACCUGCACCAUCAGGCUGGUGGAGGUUCAUCAUUCUGGCUGCAGCGACGGUGGUUGUUCUUGUUGUGUUGUUCUUCACAUGGAAGAGAUCUAAAGGGAGAGAAACCCGGAUGGACGUCAACGAAAGUCUCAGGUGUUGCUGCUCACAGGUGCAGCGUGAAGAUGGAGACGAAGGUGCAGUGGUCUAUGAAAACGUUGGAGAACCUUCAGCUUCUGUCAGACUCUGAUCCACAGCUUCUAGAUCCACGCGCAGAGACGGGAGAUCAACCCUGUGACGUCAGUUCCAGUGUUUUAUUUGGCAUUUUAAGAUAAAGGGUUUAUAUUGACAUGUUUUCAUUAAUAGUUUCUCUGACAUUCAAACUUCUUCCUGCUAUGAAAGACACGGUGGAGUGACGUCAUCCACGUGCUCUCAUGAUGAAUUAUGCUCCUUUGAGGUUAAACUUUGUCUCUUUUUCUUCUUCUACAUGUCUGCUGUUUGUCUAACGUGUUUGAUUCACAUUGUUGGGUUUGAACGAGUUGUCAGCCUUAAUAAAGUCGCUUUUAUUGAUGAGAAAUAUGAAACAAAUAAAAUAAGAAUGUGCUUGAUAUGGACUCAUCCGUUGUGUUUUGUUUAAGGGAACCAGUGAAAGUCCAUAUUCUUUAUUUAGGUUCUACUCGAUGACCCAGAAGGUAACGCUGUCCUCACGUUGUUUCUGUCCAGCAGAGACUUUACCUCCAUCGCUCAUUUUAUGCUCCUGCUUCAUCCACAUCGACUCUGAUUCAAAUCCACUUAGAGAAUAAUUUGUUUACAUUUGUUACACCAUUAAAAAAGACUCAGUUGGAGAUUCUCAUUGGUCGAUUCUUCCGCCAAUUUUUCAAAUUAAACA